rnacentral:ribozyme from 1 species
UAAUUUUUUUUCCUCUAUCUUUUUUUUUUAAUCAAUCAUAUAUAUAUAAUUUUUAUUAUUUUUUUCCUGAAACGAUUUGAAUCUUUUUAUUAAAAAAAUAACGAAAAAAUGACAAAAUCAACGAAUUUUU